AGGACAAGUUUGGGAAGAAAUAAUGAGUUCAGAGUUAUAUGUAAUACAUGUUAAAUUUCUGUUACAUGUAAGGCAUCAAGUAACAAGCAAUAACGUGGAAGGUAUAAAUUGAGAUUUGGAAGUCAUUUGCAGAAAAAAAAAUGAUCCUGGAAAGCAUGGGAGUGAAUAAUCAUGAGAAGAAAAAGUACAUAAGGAGAGCAUAAAAGAGGACCAGGAAAAGAAUCUUGAGUGAUAACAACACUAAGGUGACAGAAAAAGAUGCACCAACUUCAGUCAUCUUCAUGGCUGUUUGAAAAAUUGUUCCCAUGUGUCCAUUCUUCCAUGGGAAGUCUUCACAGAUGAGUUUGAGGCUUGUCCAUUACCUUCAACCUGGUUUUUUAGCCCAUCUCCAGAGAAAGAGCCACAGGCAUACCACUAAUCAAGAAGAAACAAUGAGGAGAUUGGAUAACUUUGCUUUAAUUAACAGAUGUAAUAAGUCACACUUUUAUUGUCUUCAAGAAUUUUUGACAUGGUAGUUUUCUAAAAAUGAUCACUAAUGACUUAUGGUUGCACCUGCCAAUUUCUGAAAUGUCCUUAGAUAUAAAUGAGCAAGCUUGCUUACUGAAUACAUCUUUCAUUAAAAAAUACCAAAUAUUUCUUUUCAUUUUCCCAUUCAGCCUUUGCUCCUUUUAGCUGAUUAUAUAUCUAAUCUUCUUUGAAAAGAAAAAAACAAAUAAAGCAAUCAAAAAAUAAAUGGUUUUUCUUUUC
rnacentral:lncRNA from 1 species